UACGAGGGGGGCGAGCGUUGUUCGGAAUCACUGGGCGUAAAGAGUGCGUAGGCGGUUAUGAAAGUUAGGAGUGAAAGCCCAGGGCUCAACCUUGGAAUUGCUCUUAAUACUACAUAACUCGAAUUCGGGAGAGGAUAGCGGAAUUCUCAGUGUAGCAGUGAAAUGCGUAGAUAUUGAGAGGAACACCAGUGGCGUAAGCGGCUAUCUGGACCGACAUUGACGCUGAGGCACGAAAGCGUGGGGAUCAAACAGG
rnacentral:rRNA from 1 species